CCCGGCUCCCCCGCUCACCUGGGCGGAUUUCUUGCAGGGUCCGGACUGCAGGAACCGGGCGAUCAGGGACCUGGAUAACGAUUCGAUGGAGAGAUGUACCUGGUACUCUGGCGGGUGAGGGGAGAUCCAGAGCUAUUUUAAGCCCAGCAAGAAGAAGGCAGCCGACAUUAUGCAAAAGCCAACCAUUCUCUGUGUGCUGGGGACAGAGCGUCUGACUGGAAAUGCAUAAAGCAACGGAAGGAAAGUGGAUUGGAACAACUGAGGAUAUCCAGCAGAACAAAAUACUCCAAACAACUGAGGAGGAGGAGGAGGACAGAAAAGGCUGUGCCCAUGGGGAGAGCAGGAACUGGUGAGGUUUCCCCAUUCCCCAGCAGCAAACCAGGGCAGAGCCAGCCGGUGGGGAUUCCCAGCACUGAUGUGGGGCUGGAUCCGGAUCGGGGUCUCUCCGGCCCCCGGGGCAGCCCCGCUCCCGCUCGCUGGCCCCUGCAAGCGCCCGCCGAGGAAAAGUAAUCACUUGCCUUACCUCCGGGUUUAAUUACUCUCUGCUCCAGAGCUAAUUAGGAGCGCGGUCCGUCCGGAGGUCGGGGACGGAGCCCUCCCUCCCGCUUCGUGCCAUCUGCCAUUGCCAUGACACUGGCUUUGCUGUUC